CCUACGGGAGGCAGCAGUGGGGGAUAUUGCACAAUGGGGGAAACCCUGAUGCAGCGACGCCGCGUGUGGGAAGACGGUCCUCUGGAUUGUAAACCACUGUCCCCAGGGACGAAGAUGACGGUACCUGGGGAGGAACCUCCGGUUAACUCCGUACCAGCAGCAGCGGUAAUACGUAGGGAGCGAGCGUUGUCGGGAUUUACUGGGGGAAAAGGCAGCGUAGGCGGGACGGCAAGUUGAGGGUAAAAUCUACGGGCUAAACCGGUAGCUGCACUCGAAACUGCAGUUCUGGAGUGCAGUAGAGGCAGGCGGAAUUCCUAGUGUAGCGGUGAAAUGCGUAGAUAUUAGGAGGAACACCAGUGGCGAAGGCGGCCUGCUGGGCUUUUACUGACGCUGAGGCUCGAAAGUGUGGGGAGCAAACAGGAUUAGAUACCCCAGUAGUC
rnacentral:rRNA from 1 species